rnacentral:tRNA from 1 species
GCGGCAAUAACUCAAUUGGUAGAGCGCAACCCCUCCAAGGUUGAAGUUGCGAGUUCGAGUCUCGUUUGCCGCUCCA